CCCUUAGAUGUUCUGGGCCGCACGCGCGCUACACUGAUGCAUUCAACAAGCCUAGCCUUGACCGAGAGGUCCGGGUAAUCUUUGAAACUGCAUCGUGAUGGGGCUAGAUUAUUGCAAUUAUUAAUCUUCAACGAGGAAUGCCUAGUAAGCGUGAUUCAUCAAAUCGCGUUGAUUACGUCCCUGCCCUUUGCACACACCGCCCGUCGCUCCUACCGAUUGAAUGUGUUGGUGAGGAGCUCGGAUUGGCAGCAGUUGGUGGUUCGCCACCGGCUAUUGCUGAGAAGUCCUCCAAACCGCCCCAUUUAGAGGAAGGAGAAGUCGUAACA
rnacentral:rRNA from 1 species